AAUAAGCUGUGGAAGCACUGAGGUCAUUUUUUUGUUGCCAUCUUGACUGUAGGUGGUUUUGGCCAGUUUCUUCACCACAUCUGGUUUUAUCAGAGACUUUGGUUUGGGUCUUGUGACUUUAUGGAGCAGGGCCUGUUCUUUCCGUAUCUCACUGUGAAUAUUCUGUGUUUUCUGGUAAAUAUUUCAGCUCCUGAAUAGCUCCGACUACCAGCAUCAGCGACAACACUAGACAGGCUGGUCCGGACUCCUGGCUUCAACCUGACUUCAAGCGAUCCUCCUACCUUGGCCAUCUAGAUUGCUAGGAUUACAGGCCCAGUCUGGGUGACGGGGAUCCUGUCUGUAUGUGAUGAAACCGAUUCUUGAAGGAAAAAACACUAUGUGAAAACAGAACUAGCGGUUGUGUGUCAGGGUUCUCAAGAGCAGCACUUCAUGCCGCGUGAACUGCUGAUAGAAGGGGGCUGAAGGCUGAGGCCAGGCCACCUGGAAGCCCACAGCACUGCUAGAAGCAGCGACAGCAGCAACGCCAACUUAUCACUACUUACUCUCCAAUGCGUUCCAUGUGCCUUGCCAGGCAUCACCUAGCUUCUCAGUGUUUCUCUUCAGCGGCCUAAGGUGGCCCUUCAUUUUUUCCUGAGUUCAGGGAAAUACCUCCUUUCCUUCAGAACGUGAGAAAAAAAUGGGACUUUCCCCGGGCUGAGAGCGCGCGGGAUUCCCUCUCCAGAAACGUGCAUUCUUCACCGCUCCCACCCGAACUGAAGGCGAUCAAAGCGCGGGAGCCGGCUGCACCCGGGAACGCUCGGAGCAUUCUGAGCCCCCUCCUCCCAGAGAAGGGAUGGUUGAUUUGGAGAGCGAAGUGCCCCCUCUGCCUCCCAGGUACCGGUUUCGAGAUUUGCUGUUAGGAGACCAAGGAUGGCAAAACGACGACAGGUGUGGUUAAGUAAACUCGAAAAUCUGUCCAAGUUUAUUGAAAAAACACAUUAAAAACGAUGUAUCUUCUGCAUCCGUUUACACUCUCCUUAUUUGUGUUGUCUUGAUUAGGUGACUACUUGCCACUAGGAGUUUUAUGCUGUUUGAACAUUUGGAGUCUUAGAUAAACAAUGGUUUAAAUAUGUAACAGGUAGUUUGUGAAAAUGGCAAUAAUUGCAAUAGAAAAUACUCACUUUGAAGAGGCAAGUGUGACAAUUGUUAAUUAUGGUGUUUGUAUAU